CCUACGGGUGGCAGCAGUGAGGAAUAUUGGUCAAUGGGCGGAAGCCUGAACCAGCCAAGUAGCGUGCGGGAUGAAGGCCCUACGGGUUGUAAACCGCUUUUGUACGGGGAUAACACCCGCCACUUGUGGCGGGCUGCAGGUACCGUGCGAAUAAGGGCCGGCUAAUUCCGUGCCAGCAGCCGCGGUAAUACGGAAGGCCCGAGCGUUAUCCGGAUUCAUUGGGCUUAAAGGGAGCGUAGGCGGGCGUUAAAGUCAGCUGUAAAAUGGCGGGGCUCAACCCCGCACCGCAGUUGAUACUGGUCGCCUUGAGAUCACAACAGGCAGGCGGAAUUCGUGGUGUAGCGGUGAAAUGCAUAGAUAUCACGAAGAACCCCGAUUGCGAAGGCAGCCUGCC
rnacentral:rRNA from 1 species